GGUGGCUCAGUGGUAGAGCGCAUGCCUUGCAUGCAUGAGGCCCUGGGUUCAAUUCCUCAGCACCA
rfam:Dipodomys ordii contig_46470, whole genome shotgun sequence.